rnacentral:rRNA from 1 species
GGCAUGGAUUAGGCAUGCAAGUUCGAGCGAGAAAGCCACCUUCGGGUGGUGAGUAAAGCGGCGAACUGGUGAGUAACAGGUGGGUAACGUGCCCUAGAGUGGGGGAUAACCCGAGGAAACUCGGACUAAUACCGCAUACGGCCGUAAGGUCUCAGGUCCUAACGGUUAAAGACUUCGGUCGCUUUAGGAUCGGCCCGCCCCCGAUUAGCUUGUUGGUGAGGUAAUGGCUCACCAAGGCAUCGAUCGGUAGCUGGUCUGAGAGGAUGGUCAGCCACACUGGGACUGAGAUACGGCCCAGACUCCUACGGGGGGCAGCAGUCUAGAGGCUUCGGCAAUGGGGGAAGCCCUGACCGAGCGACGCCGCGUGCGGGAUUGAAGGCCUUCGGGUCGUAAACCGCUGUCAGGAGGGAAGAAUGCCCUGGUGGUGAAUCAGGGAGAGACGGUACCUCCAGAGGAAGCCCCGGCUAACUACGUGCCAGCAGCCGCGGUAAUACGUAGGGGGCAAGCGUUGUUCGAAUUUACUGGGCGUAAAGGGUGUGUAGGCAGCCGCGCAAGUCUGGUGUGAAAUCUCCACCGCUUAACGGGGAGAGUGCACUGGAAACUGCGUGGCUUGAGUAUGGAAGAGGCGAGCGGAAUUCCUGGUGUAACGGUGGAAUGUGUAGAUAUCAGGAAGAACACCGGUGGCGAAGGCGGCUCGCUGGGCCAUUACUGACGCUGAAACACGAAAGCGUGGGGAGCGAACGGGAUUAGAUACCCCGGUAGUCCACGCUGUAAACGGUGCGCACUAGGUGUGGGGGGUAUCGACCCCUUCCGUGCCGAAGUCAACACAUUAAGUGCGCCGCCUGGGGAGUACGACCGCAAGGUUGAAACUCAAAGGAAUUGACGGGGGCUCACACAAGCGGUGG